GGGGAAUAUUGCACAAUGGGGGAAACCCUGAUGCAGCGACGCCGCGUGGAGGAAGAAGGUCUUCGGAUUGUAAACUCCUGUUGUUGGGGAAGAUAAUGACGGUACCCAACAAGGAAGUGACGGCUAACUACGUGCCAGCAGCCGCGGUAAAACGUAGGUCACAAGCGUUGUCCGGAAUUACUGGGUGUAAAGGGAGCGCAGGCGGGAAGACAAGUUGGAAGUGAAAUCCAUGGGCUCAACCCAUGAACUGCUUUCAAAACUGUUUUUCUUGAGUAGUGCAGAGGUAGGCGGAAUUCCCGGUGUAGCGGUGGAAUGCGUAGAUAUCGGGAGGAACACCAGUGGCGAAGGCGGCCUACUGGGCACCAACUGACGCUGAGGCUCGAAAGUGUGGGUAGCAAACAGGAUUAGAUACCCUGGUAGUCCACACCGUAAACGAUGAUUACUAGGUGUUGGAGGAUUGACCCCUUCAGUGCCGCAGUUAACACAAUAAGUAAUCCACCUGGGGAGUACGACCGCAAGGUUGAAACUCAAAGGAAUUGACGGGGGCCCGCACAAGCAGUGGAGUAUGUGGUUUAAUUCGACGCAACGCGAAGAACCUUACCAAGUCUUGACAUCCGUUGACCGCUGUAGAAAUACAGUUUUCCUUCGGGACAGCGAGACAGGUGGUGCAUGGUUGUCGUCAGCUCGUGUCGUGAGAUGUUGGGUUAAGUCCCGCAACGAGCGCAACCCUUAUGGUCAGUUACUACGCAAGAGGACUCUGGCCAGACUGCCGUUGACAAAACGGAGGAAGGUGGGGAUGACGUCAAAUCAUCAUGCCCUUUAUGACUUGGGCUACACACGUACUACAAUGGCGUUAAACAAAGAGAAGCAAGACCGCGAGGUGGAGCAAAACUCAGAAACAACGUCCCAGUUCGGACUGCAGGCUGCAACUCGCCUGCACGAAGUCGGAAUUGCUAGUAAUCGUGGAUCAGCAUGCCACGGUGAAUACGUUCCCG
rnacentral:rRNA from 1 species